CGCCUUCGCUAGGGGUCCUGGAACGGCAGUUCCGGGUGAGAGAUACCCUUCGUACCUGAUCUGGAUAAUGCCAGCGAAGGAAAGCGCAACGCAGUUCCC
rnacentral:ncRNA from 2 species